rnacentral:rRNA from 1 species
GAUGAACGCUGGCGGCGUGCUUAACACAUGCAAGUCGAACGAUUAAGACGGCUUCGGCCGUGUAUAGAGUGGCGAACGGGUGAGUAACACGUGACCAACCUGCCCCGCGCUCCGGGACAACCGCUGGAAACGGCGGCUAAUACCGGAUGCUCCGGGGAGGCCCCAUGGCCUCCCCGGGAAAGCCCUGACGGCGCGGGAUGGGGUCGCGGCCCAUUAGGUAGACGGCGGGGUAACGGCCCACCGUGCCCGCGAUGGGUAGCCGGACUGAGAGGUCGACCGGCCACAUUGGGACUGAGAUACGGCCCAGACUCCUACGGGAGGCAGCAGUGGGGAAUUUUGCGCAAUGGGGGGAACCCUGACGCAGCAACGCCGCGUGCGGGACGAAGGCCUUCGGGUUGUAAACCGCUUUCAGCAGGGAAGACAUAGACGGUACCUGCAGAAGAAGCUCCGGCU